GACGAACCGUGCGAACGUUGUUCGGAAUCACUGGGCUUAAAGGGCGCGUAGGCGGGUGGUCAAGUCAGGGGUGAAAUCUUUCCGCUCAACGGGAAAACAGCUUCUGAUACUGGCCGUCUCGAGGGGGGUAGGGGCAUGUGGAACUUCCGGUGGAGCGGUGAAAUGCGUAGAUAUCGGAAGGAACGCCGGUGGCGAAAGCGACGUGCUGGACCCUUUCUGACGCUGAGGCGCGAAAGCCAGGGGAGCAAACGGG
rnacentral:rRNA from 1 species